rnacentral:tRNA from 1 species
GCCUAGGUGGCUCAGUUGGUUGAGCAUCUGACUCUUGGUUUCAGUUCAGAUCAUGGUAUCAUGGUUGUGGGAUCAAGCCCCACAUCAGGUG